UGGGGAAUAUUGCGCAAUGGGGGGAACUCUGACGCAGCCAUGCCGCGUGAAUGAAGAAGGCCUUAGGGUUGUAAAGUUCUUUCGGUAUUGAGGAAGGUUGAUGUGUUAAUAGCACAUCAAAUUGACGUUAAAUACAGAAGAAGCACCGGCUAACUCCGUGCCAGCAGCCGCGGUAAUACGGAGGGUGCGAGCGUUAAUCGGAAUAACUGGGCGUAAAGGGCACGCAGGCGGUUAUUUAAGUGAGGUGUGAAAGCCCCGGGCUUAACCUGGGAAUUGCAUUUCAGACUGGGUAACUAGAGUACUUUAGGGAGGGGUAGAAUUCCACGUGUAGCGGUGAAAUGCGUAGAGAUGUGGAGGAAUACCGAAGGCGAAGGCAGCCCCUUGGGAAUGUACUGACGCUCAUGUGCGAAAGCGUGGGGAGCAAACAGGAUUAGAUACCCUGGUAGUCCACGCUGUAAACGCUGUCGAUUUGGGGGUUGGGGUUUAACUCUGGCGCCCGUAGCUAACGUGAUAAAUCGACCGCCUGGGGAGUACGGCCGCAAGGUUA
rnacentral:rRNA from 1 species